GAUGAAGAACGUAGCGAAAUGCGAUACGUAAUGUGAAUUGCAGAAUUCCGUGAAUCAUCGAAUCUUUGAACGCACAUUGCGCCCCUUGGUAUUCCAGGGGGCAUGCCUGUUUGAGCGUCAUUUCCUUCUCAAAGAACUCUUCUUUGGUAGUGAGUGACACUCUUUCUAGAGUUAACUUGAAAUUGCUAGCCAUAUAAUAGCUGUUGAUUGCUGACUUUGGACGGAGCGAUUUGUCCAGUCUGCUGAUACCGAUUGUCGUAUUAGGUUUUACCAACUUCGACGGACGUAGUGUUAGUGGGCGUUACUACGACUCUUUGCGAAACCCAAUGGAAAGCGAGCCGACGCAUUGGCGAACAAUACUCUUUAAGUUUGACCUCAAAUCAGGUAGGAAUACCCGCUGAACUUAAGCAUAUCAAUAAGCGGAGGA
rnacentral:misc_RNA from 1 species